rnacentral:tRNA from 1 species
GGAUUGUGGCUCAGUGGCAGAGUGCUUGUCUCGAAUGUGUGAGGCACUGGGUUCAAUCCUCAGCACCA